AGUGGAAUUGCUGGGUAAUAUGCUAUUUUUAUGUGUUUCAUUUUGAGGAGCUGCUAAAUUGCUUCCAGUGUAGCUGCAACAUUUUACAACCCCAGGGCAAU
rnacentral:pre_miRNA from 1 species